rnacentral:rRNA from 1 species
GACGAACGCUGGCGGCGUGCCUAAUACAUGCAAGUAGAACGCUGAAGAGAGGAGCUUGCUCUUCUUGGAUGAGUUGCGAACGGGUGAGUAACGCGUAGGUAACCUGCCUCGUAGCGGGGGAUAACUAUUGGAAACGAUAGCUAAUACCGCAUAACAAUGGAUGACCCAUGUCAUUUAUUUGAAAGGGGCAAAUGCUCCACUACAAGAUGGACCUGCGUUGUAUUAGCUAGUAGGUGAGGUAACGGCUCACCUAGGCGACGAUACAUAGCCGACCUGAGAGGGUGAUCGGCCACACUGGGACUGAGACACGGCCCAGACUCCUACGGGAGGCAGCAGUAGGGAAUCUUCGGCAAUGGGGGCAACCCUGACCGAGCAACGCCGCGUGAGUGAAGAAGGUUUUCGGAUCGUAAAGCUCUGUUGUAAGUCAAGAACGAGUGUGAGAGUGGAAAGUUCACACUGUGACGGUAGCUUACCAGAAAGGGACGGCUAACUACGUG